rnacentral:rRNA from 1 species
AAAUACUCCUGACUGACCGAUAGUGAACCAGUACCGUGAGGGAAAGGCGAAAAGAACCCCGGCGAGGGGAGUGAAAAAGAACCUGAAACCGUGUACGUACAAGCAGUGGGAGCACCCUUUGGGGUGUGACUGCGUACCUUUUGUAUAAUGGGUCAGCGACUUAUAUUCUGUAGCAAGGUUAACCGUAUAGGGGAGCCGUAGGGAAACCGAGUCUUAACCGGGCGUUAAGUUGCAGGGUAUAGACCCGAAACCCGGUGAUCUAGCCAUGGGCAGGUUGAAGGUUGGGUAACACUAACUGGAGGACCGAACCGACUAAUGUUGAAAAAUUAGCGGAUGACCUGUGGCUGGGGGUGAAAGGCCAAUCAAACCGGGAGAUAGCUGGUUCUCCCCGAAAGCUAUUUAGGUAGCGCCUCGUGAAUUCAUCUCCGGGGGUAGAGCACUGUUUCGGCUAGGGGGCCAUCCCGGCUUACCAACCCGAUGCAAACUGCGAAUACCGGAGAAUGUUAUCACGGGAGACACACGGCGGGUGCUAACGUCCGUCGUGAAGAGGGAAACAACCCAGACCGCCAGCUAAGGUCCCAAAGUCAUGGUUAAGUGGGAAACGAUGUGGGAAGGCCCAGACAGCCAGGAUGUUGGCUUAGAAGCAGCCAUCAUUUAAAGAAAGCGUAAUAGCUCACUGGUCGAGUCGGCCUGCGCGGAAGAUGUAACGGGGCUAAACCAUGCACCGAAGCUGCGGCAGCGACGCUGAUGCGUUGUUGGGUAGGGGAGCGUUCUGUAAGC